rnacentral:tRNA from 1 species
GUCAAAAUGCCUGAGUGGUCAAAGGGGCCAGACUCAAGUUCUGGUGCACUAGCUUCGUGGGUUCGAAUCCCGCUUUUGACA